GAGACAUUGGUGUAGUAGUAGCACUGCAGUCUGUGGCACUGCCAGCACGGGUGCAAACCCCGUAUGUCUCC
rnacentral:tRNA from 1 species